AUGAGGCAGAGCCUGGAAGCGUGUAAAUCACGCCAAAUACGUUCCCCAAACUGUAUUUCUGGCUGCUGCGUGUUCAGCUCCCAUGCCAAAAAACCCAGCUUGUGUGUUCCCCUAUUCCUUUGCUUGCUUUCUUUCUUUCUAUCUUUAUUUAACUAUCAAAUCCGUUUAUUUAAUCCUGUUUCUACUAUUUAUACCAUUACUAUUCUUUGAAUAAUACCUUCUUUUAAUCCUUUUCCUAAUAUCCAAUUUAUCUUAUUUUUUUCUUUAUAAUUACCUUUUAAGUUCUUUAUCAUUUUAAUUCUCUCUAUAUUAUAUUUCCCACAUUUUAAUAUUACAUGUUCAACAGUUUCUAUUACCCCAACAAAAAGCACAAUUUGCUGUAAAAUGUAUAUCUAUUUUGUAUAGUGAUGCAUUAAAAAAAUCACCUCAUCUUUCCUACAUCUUCCAAAAUUGUAUACUUCUUUAACUGAUGAAUUAAUUUUAUAAUAAAACCUUCCUGUAUCAGCUAUGUCCAACUUCUUCUGCCACUCUUUUUGAAUAUUUGAUUUAAUAAUUGAUUUAAUUUCUCCUCUUCUUAAUGGGACUUCAUUCUUGAUAUAUAUAUAUAUAUAUAUAUAUAUAUAUAUAUAUAUAUAUAUAUAUAUAUAUAUAUAUAUAUAUAUUCUCUAAUGGAUUUAUAAGAAACCAAACUAUUUAGCGCUGACAUUGAGUCUGAACAUAUAAUUACUCUAUCUGGUCUAACAUCUUCUAUGUUUUCUACAUGUCACCCCAGAUUCUGGUACCUUUGAUACGUCUGUAAAUAUCUGUGAGUAUGUAAAAUAAUUAGUUUGUAUAUACUUCUCUAUAUAUACUUUAGUAUUAUUUUCAUAUAUUUUUUUAUUUUUGUUUAAAUUUAUAUCUACCUUUGCCAUAGGAAAUAACCAUGGUGGGAUUAUUCCUAUUACUACAGACGGUCCUAACACUAUUUCCGAUAAUUUAUAUUUAUCUACUUCACCUUUUAUUGUCCACCCAAAACCCCUUCCUGGAUUUAUUUGAUAUUCCCAACAGUCUUUAAGUAUUCUAGUUUGAUUUUCUUGUUACUACUUUCCAAUAUACUCCAAUUUGCCAGAGAUACUUUGUUUCUUCUUUUAUCUAGUGGUAAUUCUUCUGUUGCUAUCAUUAAGGCAUUAUUUAGAGUAUGUCGAAAUGCUCCAGUACAUACUCUUAAAGCUUUAGCCUGUAUUAUAUCCAAUUUUUUUAGGUUUAUGCACAAGAGUUGGCAACCCUGAUGCUAUAUGUUACAGGCUACCAUUAGCAAGCGGCUAACCAUGUCCUUUUAGUGGCUCCAUAGAAUGCAUAGAAUACGGAUUCAGCACACCUCUAACCAAGUCGGGGGAGUUUGUGGUCCACACAGCACUCUUAUUUGACAUCGUCCCAAGUUACUGUAACCAUUAUAUGCUACACAAGUCUUGUUUAUGCCACGCAAGUCUACAGUGUGCAUGUGAGACAAUGUGCUCUUCUGUUGUCUUUGACAACUUUUAGGUGCAUUAUUGGCAGCACCACAUGAACACGUCACCAUCGCAUAAGCACGGAAAACAUGGGGAAUUUUUUAAAGACAAUAAUCACACAACCUAUUCGAUAUUCUAUAAUUAAAGGGAUAAUCAUCCCAAAAUUAAAAUUUUGAUUCAACUGUAACAUUAUGAAGCGACGACAGUACUUUUUUGUACAUGAAUAAAACAAAAAUAACAACUUUAUUCAACAAUUCCUCUCCUCUAUGUCUUUAAAAUUCAGCUUAGCGCCAUUUUGACAAAUCUGACUAGUACGCAAUGCGGUAUACCACAAAUAUUAUCUGUAGAUGUUAAGUUAUAAAUAACCCAGCAUAUUUAAGAAUUCAUUAGUAGGCUAGUACACAGGAAUAAACUUUAAACUGUUUCAUGGUUUUGUCAAUUAAACAAAUAUUGGCUACAUAUCCUGUUGCCUGUUUAUCUUUUCCAAGGAUGUUGAUUAAUUUUGCAUAACUGAAGCUCCACAUUUGAUGACCACAUGUUCAUCCAAAUUAGGGACAGAUGUCGUGCUAUAUCCUUCUACAGAAUCUCAUCCAUUUAGACUCUACAGUCAGCCAUUGGUAAUGACUCUUUUUGUUCUUUAAAUGAUGAAAAUAUUGUAAUAAACACUGAUAGCAUAAAAUAAGAGCAUGCAAGACUGGCAAGCUUUUCAUUUAGCAUUAUGCUAAGCUUGUGAACUAGGCUGGUGCCCCACUGUCCGAUUGUUUUUCAGCUGAUGAUCAAGUUGUAAGUUUUAUUUACAUAAUCGU
ensembl:lncRNA